rnacentral:lncRNA from 1 species
CAGAAUUAUUCAUCAAUAGGUUGUAUUUUUAAAUAAUUUUCUCAAAAACUGCUAUUUUUGGAAAGUUUUCAUUUUUUAGAGAAAUAUUGUAGAUUUGGGUUUGUGGUUUAGAAAUUAAGACAACAAGAAUAUUUGUGGAUAUUUGAGUAUUCUUUCAGAAUUAUUCAUCAAUAGGUUGUAUUUUUAAAUAAUUUUCUCAAAAACUGCUAUUUUUGGAAAGUUUUCAUUUUUUAGAGAAAUAUUGUAGAUUUGGGUUUGUGGUUUAGAAAUUAAGAUAACAAAAAUAUUUGUGGAUAUUUGAGUAUUCUUUCAGAAUUAUUCAUCAAUAGGUUGUAUUUUUAAAUAAUUUUCUCAAAACCUGCUAUUUUUAGAAAGUUUUCAUUUUUUAGAGAAAUAUUGUAGAUUUGGGUUUGUGGUUUAGAAAUUAAGAUAACAAGAAUAUUUGUGAAUAUUUGAGUAUUUUUUCAGAAUUAUUCAUCAAUAGGUUGUAUUUUUAAAUAAUUUUCUCAAAAAACUGCUAUUUUUGGAAAGUUUUAAUUUUUUAGAGAAAUAUUGUAGAUUUGAGUUUGUGGUUCAUAAAUUAACAUAACAAGAAUAUUUGUGGAUAUUUGAGUAUUCUUUCAGAAUUAUUCAUCAAUCGGUUGUAUUUUAAAUAAUUUUCUCAAAACCUGCUAUUUUUGGAAAGUUUUCAUUUUUUAGAGAAAUAUUGUAGAUUUGGGUUUGUGGUUCAGAAAUUAACAUAAAAAGAAGAUUUGUGAAUAUGUGAGUAUUCUUUCAGAAUUAUUCAUCAAUCGGUUGUAUUUUAAAUAAUUUUCUCAAAACCUGCUAUUUUUAGAAAGUUUUCAUUUUUUAGAGAAAUAUUAUAGAUUUGGGUUUUUGGUUUAGAAAUUAAGAUAACAAGAAUAUUUGUGGAUAUUUGAGUAUUCUUUCAGAAUUAUUCAUCAAUAGAUUGUAUUUUUAAAUAAUUUUUUCAAAAACUGCUAUUUUUAGAAAGUUCUCAUUUUUUAGAGAAAUAUUGUAGAUUUGGGUUUGUGGUUUAGAAAUUAAGACAACAAGAAUAUUUGUGGAUAUUUGAGUAUUCUUUCAGAAUUAUUCAUUAAUAGGUUGUAUUUUUAAAUAAUUUUCUCAAAACCUGCUAUUUUUAGAAAGUUUUCAAUUUU